rnacentral:rRNA from 1 species
UGGGGAAUAUUGCGCAAUGGGCGAAAGCCUGACGCAGCGACGCCGCGUGAGGGAUGAAGGUUUUCGGAUCGUAAACCUCUGUCAGAAGGGAAGAAACCGCACUGUGCUAAUCAGCAGUGCCUUGACGGUACCUUCAAAGGAAGCACCGGCUAACUCCGUGCCAGCAGCCGCGGUAAUACGGAGGGUGCAAGCGUUAAUCGGAAUUACUGGGCGUAAAGCGCACGUAGGCUGCUUUGUAAGUCAGGGGUGAAAUCCCACGGCUCAACCGUGGAACUGCCUUGGAUACUGCUUAGCUUGAAGCCGGGAGAGGGUGGCGGAAUGCCAGGUGUAGGAGUGAAAUCCGUAGAUAUCUGGAGGAACAUCAGUGGCGAAGGCGGCCACCUGGACCGGUAUUGACGCUGAGGUGCGAAAGCGUGGGGAGCAAACAGG